rnacentral:lncRNA from 1 species
ACAAACAGUUAAAAGAUGGAAAGCAGCAGUACCUGUAUUUCACUUGUGCUGAAUUAGCAUCUACUGAAAUUGCUCUGCAGGUACCCUGUGUCCCCAAGACUGCAGGCACCAAAGUACUUCCACACUGUCUUGGCGCCUUCCCAAAAUGCAGGUGUGGGAACAAGCCAGGGGAUUCAGACUCCAAGGCUGGCAGUGUGCAGGAGCGCCCAUGACGCCCAUACCAACAAUGAUUGUAAAGUCUAUGCUUUGUAAUACUUCUCAUACAGCCUCAGCAUUAAAUAAACCUGCUCUAUUUUUGAGUGCUACUACUGUGAUUCUUGAGGGAUCUCUAAAAGGAAAUAGUUGUCCAGCGCUGCUGAAUGCCUGUUAUUAAGGAAAAAAGUAUUUAAAGAUUCAGAGAUACCCCUGCUUAAUCUGAGGGGUUCCCAGACCAUGGGUUGAAAAUUUCUGCAGUGUUCCCUCUGGACAUUUCUUCUUCAUUUUCUCCUUGGUUCUUCUGUUUCCUGCAUGACAAUCUGCCUCCUUGGUGUCCUAGGAUCUGUUCACCCCUCACCUUAUACUUCUCUUUUGACCCAUCUUGUAAAGCAGACCCCUGGUUGAGCAAGUAUGGUUCUUUCUCCUAAAGAACAUGCAGAAGAUUUUGCAGUCUCGUCAAAUUUAGGGCACUGCUUCCGCAUCAGACUCCUGGAUUCAUUUCAUGCCUUAAACUUUGAAUUGAACUGAUGCCUCUGAUGGAUAAGAAUUUCCACUGAGUUUGUGCAUUUGGGUAUGUCUGGGCUUUCAGUUAUGUGAAGGUCUCUCCAUAAGAAGCCCAGCUUCUCAGUCUCCUGUUCAAAGUAGGUGUGUCAAGGCAGCCCAUUAACUGAUUUCUUGAUUCUGUCUCUUCUCAGUGAAAACUUCUUUUUUCAUUAAAAAAACAACAAUAAUUUCCUGUUAUUUUUUGGUAAGGUAAAACUGGAAAGCUGGAGGAAGGAAACUGAAAAUCAGCUAUGAUUUCAAUGAAACAUAUUUCUUUAAUGAGUGAAAAGUGACAUAAUCUUUAAAGCAAUAUUUGAAGUUACGUUACUGCAAUUUCAGUUAAGUCUGUAAAAACAGCUACAGUUAAUACCUGUUCAAAAUGAAGUUACUUCAUUCAUUUUCUAGAAUUAAGCAACUAUAAUUCCCAUAUAUCAAAUUUAUUGGUCUUAGUAGUGAAUUAAGAAUACAUUUGACAUAAACCUGUUUUUCCAAGCCUAUUUUCCAGAAAUAUGAGUUUACCCUGUGUCAUUUAUUAUUAUAUAUUAUAUCUUUAUAACAUUACAUCAUUGUCAUCUGUUAACAUACUAUCUGAAAGCGUGGGGUAUACAAAACUUCUGGUUAUGAGAACAAUCUUGUUUCCUUAUAUUUCCAAGUAUAUUUUCUUUCUCAUUUGAAGGAAUGAACAGCUAUAUGCUCCCAGGGACUUGGCUGCAUUUUACCUGUCCUUAGCUGCUCAAGCACUAGUUACUUAGUCCAGUCUGUAUACCUGGACUCACCCCCAGUCAGUGGACUUAUGCCAUUUCUUGACCUCCUUACCCCAUGCAGCUUGUACAGUCAUUAGGAGCGAUUGGUUGCCUCUUGAGGUGCCAAUUUCUCUUCAUUAACUAUGUAAGGAACACAGAGGCUAAUUUAGAGACCUGAAAUUUGGACAGAUGAAAUUAGAUACAAUGAGACCUGCUCUUUGGUUGUACCACACUUCAGUCCCUAACAGUAGGUACUUUUGUUGUUACCUGAGGUGAAGAACAUUUGCUCAUUAUUUCAUAAAUAUUUCUACGAGCCCUCUUGUGCUGAAUACAUUAGACCCAAUAGCUUGCUCCUUCCUAAAGAAGCAAAGGAAUGUAGUUUCCAUAAGCAGAGAGCCAGUGAAAAUACCACUCUUCUCAAAUUUCCUUCCUGGUGUCUCAGAGACAAAUGUCUUGGCUUCUUCCUUGUACCUUCAUCAUUCAGCAGUGUAGGCACAGUGUUGGUGCUUAGACCAGACUGCAGCUGCAAUAAUGCAGGAGAAAAAAAAAAAAAAAGAAAAAAGAAAAAAAGUGGCCUAGAGAAUUCAGAAUAUAUAAAUACAGUCCCAAGUCCUCUCCAGUGCAGAAUCUGGCAUUGGUUUUAAUUAUAUCAUUGCACUGUGCUAUGGUGGGCAUUUGUGAAAGAAAGCUAACUAAAAUGAAAAAAUCUCAUCAAAUUCCCAAACACUUCUUUACAGUCAUAUAGAGGCUCAAAAAUCCAUGCAAAUUUUUUCCUCAUUCAUCUGUGACAGAACAGAAUUACUGUACAUGAUGAUUUACUAUCUCUGAAGACACAUCCUUUUUAUUUUUAAGCCUAAGAAAAAAAAAAAGGCUCGAAGUGCAAGUGCAUUUAGAAAAAUAAAAUAAAUAAAACAUCAACA